CAGCCCGGUAAUUCCAGCUCCAAUAGCGUAUAUUAAAGUUGUUGCAGUUAAAAAGCUCGUAGUUGAAUUUCGGGAUUGACACAUCGGUCGUGCCUUAAGGGGUAUGAACUGGUGUAGUCAAUUUCUCACCUUCUGGAGAACCGCAAUGCCCUUAAUUGGGUGUCGCGGGGAACCAGGACCUUUACUUUGAAAAAAUUAGAGUGUUUAAAGCAGGCAUUUUGCUUGAAUACAUUAGCAUGGACUAAUAAAAUAGGACGGAUGAUUGUAUUUUGUUGGUUUUUAGGACCACCGUAAUGAUUAAUAGGGAUAGUUGGGGGGAUUAGUAUUCAAUUGUCAGAGGUGAAAUUCUUUGAUUUAUUGAAGACUAACUACUGCGAAAGCAUUUGCCAAGGAUGUUUUCAUUAAUCAAGAACGAAAGUUAGGGGAUCGAAGACGAUCAGAUACCGUCGUAGUCUUAACCAUAAACUAUGCCGACUAGGAAUCAGACGAUGUUAAUUUUUUAAUGACUCGUUUGGCACCUUACG
rnacentral:misc_RNA from 1 species